rnacentral:rRNA from 1 species
AGUGAACGCUGGCGGUAGGCCUAACACAUGCAAGUCGAACGGCAGCACAGUAAGAGCUUGCUCUUACGGGUGGCGAGUGGCGGACGGUUGAGGAAUACAUCGGAAUCUACUUUUUCGUGGGGGAUAACGUAGGGAAACUUACGCUAAUACCGCAUACGACCUACGGGUGAAAGCAGCGGAUCUUCGUACCUUGCGCGAUCGAAUGAGCCGAUGUUGGAUUAGCUAGUUGGCGGGGUAAAGGCCCACCAAGGCGACGAUCCGUAGCUGGUCUGAGAGGAUGAUCAGCCGCACUGGAACUGAGACACGGUCCAGACUCCUACGGGAGGCCGCCGUGGGGAAUAUUGGACAAUGGGCGCAAGCCUGAUCCAGCCAUACCGCGUGGGUUAAGAAGGCCUUCGGGUUGUAAAGCCCUUUUGUUUGGAAAGAAAAGCAGCAGGUUAAUACCCCGCUGUUCUGACGGUACCCAAAGAAUAAGCACCGGCUCACUUCGUG